rnacentral:rRNA from 1 species
UUGAACGCUGGCGGCAGGCCUAACACAUGCAAGUCGAGCGGAUGAAGGGAGCUUGCUCCUGGAUUCAGCGGCGGACGGGUGAGUAAUGCCUAGGAAUCUGCCUGGUAGUGGGGGAUAACGUCCGGAAACGGGCGCUAAUACCGCAUACGUCCUGAGGGAGAAAGUGGGGGAUCUUCGGACCUCACGCUAUCAGAUGAGCCUAGGUCGGAUUAGCUAGUUGAUGGGGUAAAGGCCUACCAAGGCGACGAUCCGUAACUGGUCUGAGAGGAUGAUCAGUCACACUGGAACUGAGACACGGUCCAGACUCCUACGGGAGGCAGCAGUGGGGAAUAUUGGACAAUGGGCGAAAGCCUGAUCCAGCCAUGCCGCGUGUGUGAAGAAGGUCUUCGGAUUGUAAAGCACUUUAAGUCGGGAGGAAGGGCAGUAAGUUAAUACCUUGCUGUUUUGACGUUACCAACAGAAUAAGCACCGGCUAACUUCGUG